rnacentral:rRNA from 1 species
AACCUGCCUUACACAAGGGGAUAGCCUCUGGAAACGGAGAAUAAUACCCUAUGACAUUACAGCCUCGCAUGAAGCAGUAAUCAAAGUGUUUAGCGGUGUAAGAUGGACUUGCGUCUGAUUAGCUAGUUGGUGAGAUAACAGCUCACCAAGGCAACGAUCAGUAGCCGGCUUGAGAGAGUGUACGGCCACAUUGGGACUGAGACACGGCCCAG